GACGAACGCUGGCGGCGUGCCUAAUACAUGCAAGUUGAGCGCUGAAGGUUGGUACUUGUACCAACUGGAUGAGCAGCGAACGGGUGAGUACCGCGUGGGGAAUCUGCCUUUGAGCGGGGGACAACAUUUGGAAACGAAUGCUAAUACCGCAUAAAAACUUUAAACACAAGGUUUAAGUUUGAAAGAUGCAAUUGCAUCACUCAAAGAUGAUCCCGCGUUGUAUUAGCUAGUUGGUGAGGUAAAGGCUCACCAAGGCGAUGAUACAUAGCCGACCUGAGAGGGUGAUCGGCCACAUUGGGACUGAGACACGGCCCAAACUCCUACGGGAGGCAGCAGUAGGGAAUCUUCGGCAAUGGACGAAAGUCUGACCGAGCAACGCCGCGGGAGUGAAGAAGGUUUUCGGAUCGUAAAACUCUGUUGGUAGAGAAGAACGUUGGUGAGAGUGGAAAGCUCAUCAAGUGACGGUAACUACCCAGAAAGGGACGGCUAACUACGUG
rnacentral:rRNA from 1 species